rnacentral:rRNA from 1 species
CAAUAGCGUAUAUUAAAGUUGUUGCAGUUAAAACGCUCGUAGUCGGAUUUCGGGGCGGUCUCGCCGGUCUGCCGAUGGGUAUGCACUGGCAGGGUCGUCCUUCCUUCCGGAGACUGCCCCUACUCUUAGCUGAGCGGGGGUGGGAGACGGAUCGUUUACUUUGAAAAAUCAGAGUGUUUCAAGCAGGCAGCUCGCUUUUGCAUGGAUUAGCAUGGGAUAAUGAAAUAGGACUUUGGUGCUAUUUUGUUGGUUUCUAGCACUGAAGUAAUGAUUGAUAGGGAUAGUUGGGGGUGCUAGUAUUGGGCGGCCAGAGGUGAAAUUCUUGGAUUCGCUCAAGACUAACUUAUGCGAAAGCAUUCACCAAGGAUGUCUUCUUUAAAUCAAGACGAAAGUUGGGGGAUCGAAGACGAUUAGAUACCAU